AAAAAAUGAUUAGUUGAUUACACUGAGUGUAUGCUGACUCAGUUUCUCGUCUUUGCUUCCAAACUCUAACAUAACAUCCUUAAUUUCUUCAAACUCAAUUCCUAGUACCACUCCACCAUACGAGGAUGUCGCAGCUUUCCAUUCAACGAGCAAAUAAGUUGAAGAUUUUGAUGCCUCAGAUCUCUGCUUUGGGAAGUUACCAUUUCUCAACAGCGGCUCAAUCAUCUUCCAUUAAACCCAAUGCUCCGAGAGUUCCAAAUCUUAUUGGGGGAAGGUUUCUUGAGUCAAAAUCAUCAUUUGGCUUCCAAAUCUUUGUAGAAGUAGAACUCUGAGGAACCUCUCCACCAGCUAUGUCACUAUCUUCUGUUCCUUUGGUUUCAACUGUGGCAGAUAAUGCCUGUGGACUUGGCUCAAUUAUAGGCAUGACAGGAAUAUCCUGCAACAUCCAAAUGUUAGUAUAGAGACCAAGUACUUCAUGCAAGCCGACCCAAUAUAAUUGGGAAAAUACACAUUUUCUGAAAUUUUCAAUAUAAAACUAUGGUUAUUAUUCAUGCAUACAAUUGAGAAAAUAAAUUAUGUUGUUUUCAUUGCCUACAAA